rnacentral:rRNA from 1 species
AGGAAGUAAAAGUCGUAACAAGGUUUCCGUAGGUGAACCUGCGGAAGGAUCAUUAUCGUAUAAACUUGAACAGGCUGUUGCUGGCCCUCCGGGGUGUCGUGCACGCUUGUCUCAUCUUUGUCAUUUCUUCCAACUGUGCACAUUUUGUAGAUCCUGGAAAUGGGAGAGCUCCAUGAACUUGUGUUCGAGUCGGGAAUUGCUGUCGCUUUUUUCUUAGGCCGGCUUUUCCUUGUACCUUUCCCCCAGGUCUAUGUCAUUUUAUCACAAUCUCUCGAGUAUGUUCAGAAUGUCGUUGGAAUAUAAUAUAAUAUAUACAACUUUCAGCAACGGAUCUCUUGGCUCUCGCAUCGAUGAAGAACGCAGCGAAAUGCGAUAAGUAAUGUGAAUUGCAGAAUUCAGUGAAUCAUCGAAUCUUUGAACGCAUCUUGCGCUCCUUGGUAUUCCGAGGAGCAUGCCUGUUUGAGUGUCAUUUAACUUAUCAACCAUGUUUCAUGUNUGGAACGUGGCUUGGAUGUGGGGGCUCUUUUGCAGGCCNAUCUAUGGGUCGGCUCCCCUGAAACGCAUUAGUGGCAUNUGAGCUGCUACUGUAGGUGUGAUAAAUUAUCUAUGCCUUUGGUAUGCUGCAUGAACAGAUCACGCUGCUCAGAACCAAACUUGAGAAAGACUUGACAAACUGACCUCAAAU